GGUGGUGUUGGGCUGCUUUUCUGGCUUGUGUCUGUUUAAUGUUCCCUCUUAUGCAGUAGUGAGAAUGUUGUAUCAUUCUACGACAGCGUAUAUGUCGACUAUUUCUUUCUCCGAGCAGCAGGCGAGCUGAGGUAGAGAGAUAGAAAGGAGUAUGGGAGAAGUGAGUUCAUUCACUACACCUACAGAGAAAAUGAGAUGAGUUGAGGGGCUGGACGGGGGCGCGGUGAUUAACCGCCGUUGUCAGUGGCGAACCAGAAGUAGUUACGGAUUCUAGAAAGACCUGUUAUAAUGCGUAACUGCGCGUCCUUCUGCCAACAUUUGUUUAGGUGUAGCCCAUCCCGAAGACAAUACACUGCCUUAGCCGUUUGCAAUCUUGGAUUCGCUCCGGAAUAGAGGGAUUUGGAAGUGACCCACCUUAGAGAUGUUGCAGUCCAACUUGCCAACCAGAGCAAGAAAUCUGACCGAUAACCAGCCUUUGCUCGAAUACCACACGUCCAUACUAAAUGGUGUUUGCAAUAUAUUCAGUGUAUAGAGUACAUAGACAUCUAUAUGACGAAACUCAUCAUCCAAGGACCUGUGGCUGAAAGAUUUUUUAAAUGGAAGAGAAGAAAUAGUGAUCCUCAGACUGUAAAUCAAACAAAUUAAAAAUGGAAUACUUCAGAAUUAAACAACUGCUUCCUAAGCUUUCUAAACCUAAACUCAGGAGGUAAAUAUCCAAGAUGAAAGUGUUCUGUUGUAACACAUUGGAAUUAUGAUGACAAUUACCUAUUGUUUGGAUUUAUUUCCAUUGAAAAUAAAUAUAGCUGAUACUCAAAUGUGCAUUGUGCACCAAAACAUACUUUAAUAGCUCUUAAAUCACUAUUAAGCUUUGAAGUCGUUUGGAAACAAGGGUCAACUUGAUUAUGUAGCAAUAUACUCUUGAUGUAUAAAAUUGUCACAUCAGAUAGUGAAAAACAUACCAAGGGAUAACAAAGUUAGCUUAUAUAUAACUCCUGUUGAAUAAGCUAGCAUGGUUGGGCUCGGCAACCCAUGGCCUGAGCAAAACAGGCCUGCAGAUCUUUGGUGCACAGCAGUCUGCAUGACGUAGGCAGCUAAAUGUUUAACCUAUUGCCUUUCUAAGCCAGUAAAGAGAAAAAGGGUAAAUUGACCUUAAAAUGUAACUUUAUGAGAAGUAGGCAGGAAGUGAGGGGCUCAUAGUCUCACAAAAAGAGCAAAAUGUAAUUGUUCAAGUGUUAUUCUAGUCCUUCCUGCACCACCUCCCAGGUCAGAGUGACCUGUUCCUGCAUCUGUGCUCCCCCCCACCCUUAGGAAUGCCUUUGUCUUAUAAGGCUUAUAAAAGGCUUUCUGUCCUCUUUGCAUUGCUCGGUUGUCUUCCCUGCGAACGUGAUCCCUGCCUGGCCUGAGGGAGCUGUCAUUAUCUCUCCAUGACUUCUCACCCUGUAAGUAAGCCCUGAAAAAAAGUUCAUGUAUCUUCUUUGGGCUCUCUUGGGCUGCGACAAUUGGCAAGCCAGCCAGGAGAAUCAAAUAGCUGCCAGCCAGAGGCUAAGAAAGUCCCAAGCACUGAUGACAUGAACUUGGGGAGGGGAAAGGAGAAGGCCCCAGGCGGGAUACCAGGGAGGCCUGUGAUGUCUAUGUUGGAAGGGCUGCCUACCCUCCCAGUGGAAUGGAUGUCUAUGUGGGGAGGGGUAGCUACCCUCUUAGAUGAAUGGAAUCUGCCAAGGAAGUAUGGAAAUGUUUAUAACUCUCUGUCUGGACAAAUAGCCGUCCUGUAUCAGGCCACAGGAUCACUCGGGAUUCAGAAAGAAAAAAAGGGUCGCCAGAUUGUGGCUGCGGUGGGGUGGCCAUUGUUAGAGGCUGUAUGCGCUGCUACUGAGGAAGUUUUAGCAGCAAAGGUGGCUGUAAGCCACCUGGGAGGUAAAUUAAAGGUAGAAAAAGAUAUGAGGCUAACACAAGCAGAAUUGAAAGAUGCUCUAGAUAAAUGUUUAGAAAUAUUGGCAUACCAGCACACUAGAGUAGGAGGGCAUAAGCUGUCCAAAGGGCAAGUUAGGCGUAUCCUGGCUUCCCCUGACUGGGACCGUAAAGUGUGGGACACUGUUGACUACUCAUCAAAAGAUGAUGAGCCCCUGUCUGACUGGGAAAUUGAUACUAAGGAAAGUAGGCAUACUCAACCUCUGUUCUAACAAAGGAUUAAAGCAGAGGAAGUUCAGCACCCUGAUCCCCCAUGGAGAGAGGAAGAUGGGGCAGUGGCAGCAGCUUCUGAUCAGAGGGUGCUCAUUUCAUCCUGAGAGUUUUCCCGAGGAGAAUUAGGAGAUAUUAGUAACUAAUACUGACAGAAACCUAGGGAGCCAUUAGCAAACUGUAUGCUCCUGUUUCAUUUUGUGUUAAACCUUGCUAAUAUGUUUUUUAGAAUAUUUUUAGAUUUUUUCCAGUCAACUUGUGUUAGGCUUCACAUGGGGAAAACAACAGUGGACAUUUGCUGUGCAUCCACAAAGAUAUCUUCAAAUGUGGAAACCUCCAGAAGAGCCUGACUACUCUAUCAAGUUCUUGGGUAUUGUCUGGUUGGGUAAAACUAAGGCUAUUCCUUCAGCUGUUGUUAAAAUGCAAAGUUAUUCCACAUCGCCUACUUCUGAACAGUUGAUGGCUUUUCUUGGUUUGUUAAGUUAUUAGGAAAUGUUUAUACUCUAUGUAGUACAAAUUUUAAAACCUUUGUAUACCCUAAUUAGAAAAGGGAAAAUGUGGGAAUGGGAUUUUCCACUGCAGGCUGUGUUUAA